ensembl:lncRNA
AUUCUGCUGCAGAAUAGCUCACAGACCCAUGGGCACGCAGCCUUGUUCAUCUUAGUAAAUAGAUUCAUAGUGUAGUUCUGGAGACGAGUAUGUAGGCCCCCGGCAGACAGAGCAGCCCCUUAAAAGGUCCAGUGUCAGGGUUUUCAUGUCUUGGCCACCAGACCCUACAAGAUACACUGAAGAGGCUUUCAGAAGAGCGCUUCCUCCCCUGGAGAUGAGGUUAGCAGCCUGGCCUGGCACGGGCCAUCCCUAUGCCAAGGCCAGGCUGGUCCCAUGCUGUCGGGUUGUGGGGCACCCAUGGAGUCGAGCAGAGGGGACCCCAGGGCUCGGGCGCGGCUCCGUGGUUAGGAGGAUAUGGAAGUGUGCUAAGACCCAGCCUUGGGCCUCGCCCGGUGCACCAGGUUCAAGAUUAAGAAUGAUUCAUUUUUUAAAGACCUUGACCAAGGGUCAUGAAGGUGGAUUACAUAGCAAUAAUCUCAACGACCUGGAUUGACUGCAUACUUAUCUCCAGAACCACUGACCCUUGCCCAACACUAUGGAAUCUAUUAACUCAAGAUGAACAAGGCUGCGUAACGGAGUGGCUGGAGCCUUGUGAAUAUCCACCAUGGAGACUGCAGGAAGGCAGUUCAAGGAAUGUAAUGACUUCGAUGUGGAUGGUGCACGGAUGCCUCUGUGGUCUCUGCCUCUAGGUGCUCCUGCAGCCAGCACCUCCCCACCACACACACACACUCCCGCCUCCUGCAUCAAGGACCUGUUGACUCUAAUGACUAGACUACAGCAAAAGCGGUGGAA